GUGGGGAAUAUUGCACAAUGGAGGAAACUCUGAUGCAGCGACGCCGCGUGAGUGAAGAAGGUCUUCGGAUCGUAAAACUCUGUCCUUGGUGACGAAAAAAAUGACGGUAGCCAAGGAGGAAGCCCCGGCUAACUACGUGCCAGCAGCCGCGGUAAUACGUAGGGGGCGAGCGUUGUCCGGAUUUACUGGGCGUAAAGGGUGAGUAGGCGGUAAUAUGUGUCAGAUGUAAAAGGCUAUGGCUUAACCAUAGUUAGCAUUUGAAACUGUAUUACUUGAGUGCAGGAGAGGUAAGUGGAAUUCCUAGUGUAGCGGUGAAAUGCGUAGAUAUUAGGAGGAACACCAGUGGCGAAGGCGACUUACUGGACUGUAACUGACGCUGAGUCACGAAAGCGUGGGUAGCAAACA
rnacentral:rRNA from 1 species